UCCUACGGGAGGCAGCAGUGGGGAAUAUUGCGCAAUGGGCGAAAGCCUGACGCAGCGACGCCGCGUGGAGGACGAAGGUCUUAGGAUUGUAAACUCCUGUUAAGUGGGAAGAAAAGUCAAUCUCUAAUAUAGGUUGAUCAUGACGGUACCAUUAGAGAAAGCACUGGCUAACCUCGUGCCAGCAGCCGCGGUAAU
rnacentral:rRNA from 1 species